CUGGGACACAGUGUGGGAGCAGUAACACCUGCAGGGAGAACAAAGAGGGUCAAGGAAGGCUUCAUAAAGAAGCCUCAGGCAAGCGCAAGGCUCACAUCAAGUGCAGAUGAAGAGGCUGAAGUGACCGGAGGUCCACAUUGUCCAAGAAUGAGUCUGCUGACUGCACAACUCUCUGCCAGCCUAUCACCAGGGGCUAGCCUAUCACCAGGAGUCUUGAUAAUUGCAAUGCCUUAAGCCAUUAACGAGGAUAAAGAGACCAUUGGAAGACUUUUGCCUAACUAUGGUAAAUAUGAAUCCAACUAAAAAAAAAUCCUGAUGUGCCCCAAACCCAGUCUGACAACCACCCCUACCACCACCAGCUCCCACCAUCUCCAUCUGCUACAGUCAGACUGUCUUCUCCCCUGUAUGUCCCCUGUCUUCAAGCCUUUUCCACACUGGAGUCUCCUGUACCUUCAAUGGUCUCCAUUCACAUCUGUUCUGCCCUUCCCCCCAGCAAAAUAAAUGUCCCUUCUCUUCCAGGAGCUGCUGGGGAAGUCCCCGGCUGACAGCUAGGGCAGCGUUUUUCCAAGCGCGAGGAGCGGACUCCACCUGCACUGAAUCACUCAAGAGCCUCCACUAAGAUGCAAAUGCCUUCCCGUGACCCAGCGAGGCAGAAUCUCCACGGGGUGGGGGUGGGGGGCAGGAGUCUCUAGUUCUAACAAGCUCCCCAGGUGAUUCAGAUCCACACAAAGCACAAAAAUCAGUGAUUUUUCUUGAGUCCUUGCCAAUUGCAGAAGUCCAGCUAGGACGAGAUCUAGAAAAUUCAUGAAAUAAUUUAGCUGAAAGAAACUACACUCCUCAUUUUGUGCCCAGUUAGGACCACCCAGGAGAUCUGGAUCCCCUUCUUACUUUAUACCGAUAAGCUGUAUUGCCUUAGGCAAAUCACUUUCCCUGUCUGGGCCUCAGUUUUCUUACCUGCAAAAGGAAGGCCAGGGCUUGCGGGGGUCCCUGGGGCCAUCCUGUUCUAACAUGCUUGGAAAUCCACAUGGGUUAGGCUGCUUUGUAGGGCUGGCCUGGUGGGAAAGGAGAAUGGGGGUGAGCGCAGAGGUCCUGUCCCUGCCUAGGUAGACAGUUGUUGAUGUCAGAGGGGCACAGAGAUCUCAGGUCAGAUGGGGGUCAAGGUCAGUAUCUAAGUGGCCUGGCCUCCGGGGACUGUGAGGAGCAACUGGAGCAUCUGGGCCAUGGCAGAGUCAGGCCCUGAUCCCUGGGGAGAAGAGGGAGCCCAGAAGGCGGGUCUUAAUGUCAGGGCCCAGGCCCAGGUGAUUGGCUCAGAACUAGGCUCUCGGGCCCUUACGAACAUGAGAAAGCAGACGAGGAGCCUGCAGCAUAGCAGGGAACUCAGCUCAGGGGGCUCCCUGGCAGGAUGGCUCUAUUGCACAGCUCUGAGGCGGUGGGGUGGGGGGUGUGUCUUCCAGAAGACAAUGUACGAGAUGCCCCCUGGAGCUGUGCCACGUGGAGGGACUGGGACCAGGUACCAGGGGCACCCCGGCCACCCUGGAUCCUGAACUUAGGGCAGCAGGACGAGCUCCAGGCCCACCAGCUGCCUUGGCCCACGAGGGCACAGCCAGCAUUGGUGGGGAAGGAUGUUUCCCCACCCCUCCUGGUUGGGAACUGGAGGCCUGAGCUCAGCCCUG